rnacentral:other from 1 species
AAAAUCCUGCCGUUCACGUCAGCCGGGUAUUUAUUAGAACCAACACUUUUUAUAAGGGAGCCAAUCUCCUCUCGUCAAUUGUAGGCCCACCGCCUUUACGGCCGUAUGGGGAACGUGCGACUGAGGGUAAGCACCCACCUGCACAUGCAGGUUUCUAAUAUUAUCUUGGGGCAACGGUCCGGCGGGUUUUUU